UAGCUGGUCUGAGAGGAUGAUCAGCCACACUGGAACUGAGACACGGUCCAGACUCCUACGGGAGGCAGCAGUGGGGAAUAUUGCACAAUGGAGGAAACUCUGAUGCAGCAACGCCGCGUGGAGGAUGACGCAUUUCGGUGUGUAAACUCCUUUUAUAUGGGAAGAUAAUGACGGUACCAUAUGAAUAAGCACCGGCUAACUCCGUGCCAGCAGCCGCGGUAAUACGGAGGGUGCAAGCGUUACUCGGAAUCACUGGGCGUAAAGCGCGCGCAGGCGGCCUUUUAAGUUGGAUGUGAAAGCCUAUGGCUCAACCAUAGAACUGCAUCCAAAACUAUCAGGCUAGAGUGUGGGAGAGGAAGAUGGAAUUAGUUGUGUAGGGGUAAAAUCCGUAGAGAUAACUAGGAAUACCAAAAGCGAAGGCAAUCUUCUGGAACAUUACUGACGCUGAGGCGCGAAAGCGUGGGGAGCAAACAGGAUUAGAUACCCUGGUAGUCCACGCCCUAAACGAUGAAUGUUAGUCGUCGGGUAGCUAGUCUAUUCGGUGAUGCAGCUAACGCAUUAAACAUUCCGCCUGGGGAGUACGGUCGCAAGAUUAAAACUCAAAGGAAUAGACGGGGACCCGCACAAGUGGUGGAGCAUGUGGUUUAAUUCGAAAAUACGCGAAGAACCUUACCUAGCCUUGACAUAUUUAAGAACACUUUAGAGAUAGAGUUGCCUUCGGGAGCUUUUAUACAGGUGCUGCACGGCUGUCGUCAGCUCGUGUCGUGAGAUGUUGGGUUAAGUCCCGCAACGAGCGCAACCCUCGUCACUAGUUACUAACGGUUCGGCCGAGGACUCUAGUGAGACUGCCUUCGUAAGGAGGAGGAAGGUGAGGACGACGUCAAGUCAUCAUGGCCCUUACGGCUAGGGCAACACACGUGCUACAAUGGCCAGGACAAUGAGACGCGAUACCGCGAGGUGGAGCAAAUCUAUAAACCUGGUCUCAGUUCGGAUUGUAGUCUGCAACUCGACUACAUGAAGCUGGAAUCACUAGUAAUCGUAGAUCAGCUAUGCUACGGUGAAUACGUUCCCGGGUCUUGUACUCACCGCCCGUCACACCAUGGGAGUUGAUUUCACCCGAAGCGGGGAAGCUAUACUGGCUAUCCUCCACGGUGGAAUCAGCGACUGGGGUGAAGUCGUAACAAGGUAACCGUAGGAGAACCUGCGGUUG
rnacentral:rRNA from 1 species